rnacentral:rRNA from 1 species
CCUACGGGAGGCUGCAGUGGGGAAUAUUGGACAAUGGGCGAAAGCCUGAUCCAGCCAUGCCGCGUGUGUGAAGAAGGCCUUCGGGUUGUAAAGCACUUUCAGUGGGGAAGAAAGCCUUGGGGCUAAUACCCUCGAGGAAGGACAUCACCCACAGAAGAAGCACCGGCUAACUCCGUGCCAGCAGCCGCGGUAAUACGGAGGGUGCGAGCGUUAAUCGGAAUUACUGGGCGUAAAGCGCGCGUAGGCGGUCUGAUAAGCCGGUUGUGAAAGCCCCGGGCUCAACCUGGGAACGGCAUCCGGAACUGUCAGGCUAGAGUGCAGGAGAGGAAGGUAGAAUUCCCGGUGUAGCGGUGAAAUGCGUAGAGAUCGGGAGGAAUACCAGUGGCGAAGGCGGCCUUCUGGACUGACACUGACGCUGAGGUGCGAAAGCGUGGGUAGCAAACAGGAUUAGAUACCCGUAGUC